CAAGUCGAACGGGAUCUUCGGAUCUAGUGGCGGACGGGUGAGUAACGCGUGGGAACGUACCCUUUGGUUCGGAAUAGCCCUGGGAAACUGGGAGUAAUACCGGAUACGGUCGAGAGACGAAAGAUUUAUCGCCGAAGGAUCGGCCCGCGUUGGAUUAGGUAGUUGGUGGGGUAAUGGCCUACCAAGCCGACGAUCCAUAGCUGGUUUGAGAGGAUGAUCAGCCACACUGGGACUGAGACACGGCCCAG
rnacentral:rRNA from 1 species